CUCAGAAAAGCAUGUUGGAUGAUAGGUUUAAAUGGAAGGUUCGAGAGAUGGAAAAAUGGAAGGAAGGGAAGCCUGGCGAAGCCAGAGCUGCUUUGAGACGUUCUGUGAGGGAAAUUGGAUUGGAUGUAGCAGAGCAAAGUGGAGAGGUUACACGUUCUGCCUCUGGCCCAGUACUUCCAAG